GAUGGGCCAUAGCACAGUGGCAGAGUGUUUGCCUUGCAAGCAGAACAUCCCAGGUUCAACACCCUCCAGUGGCAUUU